UUCUAAAACAGCUCAUCACCUUCCCUUGGUGGGAGUAACUGACUGACAGACGUGUAUCUCAGUUUGUCCAGUGCUUCUGAGGGUGAAUGUUAUAGUAUUAGUGAAAACCUUUGACUAUACUUAUUGGAUACAUUAGUGAUUCUAAGGUGUUUACAACUUUGCCGUGCACGCGACGAGAGACGGCCACUGCGGGGAAGUGAAGUGAGACUCAAAGCAGGAGUAUCUCAGCUUACUUCCCAGGACCAAGGGCGUCCUAGCAUUAGUAGUGGCCUUCCAUGGGGUCACUCUUCACGCAGGUCACGGCCAUGGCCUCUCCAGCCUUUACAUUGUCCAGGGAGGGUGCAGGCCGUCACGGAUGGGAGGCUGUGGCGUACCCGAGCCGCGCUGUAUUGUGGCGAGAUCAGGAGAGGAGGGUGGUCAGGCUCACGAAGUUUUGAAGGUUCCCACCACCUGUCUUCACAACACCCUCACAUCCAUCGUAGAUAGACAAACAGCCACUGACAACAAUUAAGCAAACAAACAGAGAUGGAGACUGUUACAGCAUCACACAAGACUGAAUGAUGCAGUUCCUUGAGUCGCCGCCAUAACAACAACAAAAACAACAACAACAACAGGGGCAUUCGGGAUUACAUAAAGAUGCUAAAAAACGCAACACGAAGCCACGCCUUUACUUCGCCCCAAUAUGACCCUCCAGUCAGCCAAUCAGUGCCUAUAAACCACUAAAGCAAGAACUAUCUCCACUCUUAUUGCUUCUCCCUUUCUGCUCCAUCGCCGCCGUCGCCACCACCGUCCCCCGCCACUACCAUCGCCAAGCCACGCUAGUCCAGACCGACCUUCAGCCCUUCACCACCUGAGAGAAAGCAAGUCCAUCAGUCACAUCGCGGAAGAAACCCUCCUUCUCAUAUUUAGUGACUUCCGCCGCACAGGUGUUCCUCCCCCCCACCCUCCUUCCUCCCAGGCCGGCCGACGUAAUCACUUCCUCGUACCAUCGACUCGUCAUGACAGUUUCUCGAAGCUCAAAUGGACAGGUGUGCAUGACCGGGCAGUGAGUGUAUGGCGGCUGAUAGGGAGCGCGAUAAGCAAACCCGUCGGGCAGGCAGCAGCAGCAGCAUCUCGCGGCGGGGCAGAAGUGGGAAGACCCUAGCCCCGGAGAGGAAAGCUGCUGAAUCUUUCUCUUCAUACAACCCUGAACCGGUUCGUCUGGUUGCUUUACUUUGGCUGCUGUGGUGGUGUACCUCAUGGGAGCAGAAUGAAGGAGGCAGGGGGAGGUACUACAGCUGUUUUGAGAGUGCCUCCAUCUGUAUGGCAACGAAGGUCAGAGAAGAACACCUGCGAUGGAAGUGCGUGUGGGGAGUGUAGCGCAUGUAGGUACGUGUGUAUAGAUGUCACGAAAAUGACAUAAUGAAGGUUUUAUUGCAAUGUGUGCAGUUGUGUCUUUUGUAUACUUCUGUGUAUCAUUUUUUAUCUCCUUCAUGUUCCUUUUCUAAUUUCCUUCUACUUUUCCAUUUUUUCUUCCAUGUCUCGUUUUGAUUUAUGAUUAUACUUUUUAUUUCUUUUUCAUUUCUACAUCUCUUUCUUUAUUUCUCCUCACCGUCAUGGAAUUCUGGUAACUGACAAUAGCUGUGUGACGGAGAAAGAAGCUCAAGUUACCAGUGUUUUGCCGAGACGUGUUGGAAAAUUCUGCUGUUGAUUUAAUUUCACGCUGGUCCUCGCGUCAGUCUUGCGUCUCCAGCGUGGAAUUGUUGAUUGA